GCAAGCUUGGGGACAAGUGGGACAGAAACAAUGGGUGCAGGGAAGGAUGCACAGGUGAUAGAGCUCCAGGACCGACUGUCCCCACCCCCACCCCAUUAGCCAAUGUGGGUGAUCUGGAGUUCUCACCCAGAAGCCCACAAUAACCCCAUUCACUCCUCUGAACGCCGGCAGCAUGCUAAAUACUCACUGGAGAUGGGCAGAGUCUUCAAGAGCUUCCAUUCUUCUUUCUCUGCGAGUGGGAUUCCCAUGUUUUCCAGAACGUUUUUUAUGUCUUUGAUGUCAACUUUUUCUCCUUUAAGAAAAUGGGAACUAUUUCAGGACAAGAGAUAACAAUUUCAAUGUAAGGAAAACAGACUGACACACAAGAUGUUUAACCCCAAGAGGAAGCAACUACAAAGAUGUG
rnacentral:lncRNA from 1 species